GCGAGUUCCGGACGGACGGAGCGAGCGUCGGACCGCACCGCGCUGGGGGACCGGGAGCGGACGGACCGCGGCGGGAGCGGGCCCGGCGGGGCGGCCGGCUGCCAUGUACGCGGGGCUGCAGGAGCUGGGGGUGGCCAACGGCGAGGAUCUGAAGGAGACACUGACCAACUGCACGGAGCCGCUGAAGGCCAUCGAGCAGUUCCAGACAGAAAAUGGGGUCCUGUUGCCCUCGCUGCAGUCGGCCCUGCCCUUCCUGGACCUGCACGGCACCCCCCGGCUGGAGUUCCACCAGUCGGUGUUUGACGAGCUGAGGGAGAAGCUGCUGGAGCGGGUCUCAGCCAUCGCCUUGGAAGGGAAGGUGGAGGAAAGGUACAAGAAACUGGAAGAUCUCCUGGAGAAAAGCUUUUCCUUGGUCAAGAUGCCUUCCAUACAGCCUGUGGUAAUGUGUGUCAUGAAGCACUUGCCCAAGGUGCCUGAGAAGAAGCUGAAGUUAGUAAUGGCUGAUAAGGAUUUGUAUAAAGCAUGUGCAGUGGAGGUGAAGCGCCAGAUUUGGCAGGAUAACCAGGCUCUGUUUGGUGAUGAGGUAUCUCCACUGCUCAAGCAAUAUAUCCUGGAGAAAGAAAAUAUUCUCUUCAGCAGUGAUAUUUCAGUCCUGCACAACUUCUUCAGUCCAUCUCCCAAAGCAAGACGUCAGGGAGAGGUGGUUCAGAAGUUGACUCAGAUGAUUGGGAAGAAUGUGAAGCUCUAUGACAUGGUGCUGCAGUUCCUAAGAACUUUGUUCCUCCGGACAAGGAACGUGCAUUACUGCACUCUGAGGGCAGAGCUCCUGAUGUCGCUGCAUGACCUGGAAAUCAGUGAAAUCUGCACUGUUGACCCCUGUCAUAAGUUCACAUGGUGCCUUGAUGCCUGCAUUCGGGAGAAGUUUGUGGACAACAAGAGAGCUCGGGAACUGCAAGGCUUUCUGGAUGGAGUGAAGAAAGGACAAGAGCAAGUUUUGGGGGACUUAUCGAUGAUCUUGUGUGAUCCCUUUGCCAUUAACACCUUAGCCCUGAGUACCAUAAGGCACCUGCAGGACCUAGUUGGGCAGGACACCUUACCCAGGGAAAGCCCAGAUCUGCUGCUGCUCCUUAGGAUGCUGUCUUUAGGACAGGGAGCCUGGGACAUGAUUGACAGUCAAGUCUUCAAGGAACCAAAAAUGGAAGCUGAGCUGAUUACAAAGUUCUUGCCUAUGCUGAUGUCCUUUGUGGUGGAUGAUCACACAUUCAAUGUAGAUCAGAAACUACCCUCGGAGGAAAAGGGGCCAAUUCCUUACCCCAGCACCAUCCCUGAGGCUUUCACCAAAUUCUUGCAGGAGAACAGAAUAGCUUGUGAGAUUGGGCUAUACUAUAUCCUUCACAUAACUAAACAGAGGAACAAGAAUGCUUUCCUCAGGCUCCUGCCAGCGCUAGUCGAGACAUUCAGCGACUUGGCCUUCAGUGAUAUAUUUCUGCAUCUGCUCACUGGUAACCUCACACUGCUGGGUGAUGAAUUUGCAGUUGAAGAGUUCUGCACCAGUCUCUUUGAUGGCUUCUUUCUCACUGCAUGCUCAAGAAAGGAGAAUGUACACAGACAUGUACUAAGACUGCUGCUUCAUCUGCAUCAUAAAGUGGCGCCUGCCAAAUUAGAGUCUCUCCAGAAGGCUUUGGAACCCACCAAACAGAGCGGUGAGGCUGUGAAGGAGCUUCAUAACCAGCUCACAGAGAAACUGGAGCUUCGCAAGCCUAGUCCUGCCGAAGUGACCGAGACUCCCUCCAUGGAACUGCCCUUGCCCACUGUGCCCACACCAGCCUCACGCUGAGCUGUGUUUGUAUUGCAAGAGUGAGACAGCAAAACAAGCUUAGUGCUCAGCAGCCUGAAGGUGCUGUACUGCCUUGUCAAGUGUCUCUGCCCACAGGGUGGAAACAAACAAAAAAUAGCCACUGAAAAAGCUCUUUCAGGAAACACUGCAGUUUACCCAACUGUCUCUUGCUGGUUAGAAAACUCUCUGUAUGCAGUGCAUUGCAGAGGUUUACUUUUCUUACAGAUAGCUGAGUGAGUGUCUUCUUGUAGAUCUGCUUACAACUGACUGUACAAUUUUUUUUGUUGUUUUGAAAAAGAAAAGGCAUAUUUUUAAGCUUUGCAUCUUGUAUUCUUUACCUCUAUUUCAAGAACUUACAAAUGACUGCCUAGUAUGUGGCUGAGCAGGUACUGUGAGCUCCUGAAGGCUAACCCAGCUUUUCCUGGCUGUUAGUGUGCUCCUCUGGGUCUUUAGAGGAUAUACUCAGCAAACAGAAAUGUCAGAGGAGAGGGGUUCCACUGGUGUGCUUUCCUGUUCCUGAUUCUAGCUGUUUACUUCAUGUUAGAACAUGCUGCGUUAGUGAGGGGUGUCCACCACUGUCACUAGACCAAGAAGCAAUGUUCUUAUGAAGAACACCAGAAACUGAAUCAGACUGAAAGAAUAGCCUGUUCUGCGUGGCUUAUCUGUGUUUGCUGUCCGUACUGUUACAGCUAAUUCCUGUUGUGCUUUCACUGUUGCCUCAGUGUAAAUAUCAGGCAGAGUGUGCUGGAGGAUGGAUUUGGGAGAAGAAUGAGUUGUGUGAGCUUACCAAGUGACUUCACGUUGGUUUCAGCGCAUACAAUAUAUGUGAAAAAAAUCUCACCAGCCCUCUGUAAACAGGAAGGUACCUGCUUGAGGGAUUCUGAAUCACAGACUAACACAGGUAUGAAGGCACUUCUGAGGGGCUCUGCUUACCCUCUAACUCAGACUAGCGUGUCCCUAGAAAAGGUUGCUUCUGGGUAGGACUCUGUGUGUACCUUUAAGGAUCCUAAGGGUUCUGUUAGGCUGUUUCUCCAGCCCACUGAGGUCCUUCUGAACAGCAGCCCUGUCCAGUGUGUCAGCCAUUCCCACAGUUUGGUAUCAUUUGUAAAUUUGCUGAGGGUGUGUUCUGUCUUUAUUUAAUGCCUCUAUUUGCAACCCAAUAUUAGCCUUGUUACAGUCCCCUGAGGAAUGCUAGGAGUAGAUGGCUGCCAACUGGACUUUGUGCUGUUGAUCGCAACUCUCUGGGACUGGAGUCUUGCCAGUUUUCCAUGCAGCUAUCUGAUCCACAGCAAAAUGAUUGGGCUAUAUGUGUUCUUCAGGCAGUUGUGUCCAAAACCAUCUGAAGUCAAGCUAAACUGAACUCUCCCCUUGUCUGCCAAGCCAGUCUUCUUAGAAAGUUAUCAGAGUUGUCAGGCAUCAUUAGCCCUUGGAAUUUGCCCACCCACUGUCACUUUCUUGUCCUUUUAUUUUCCCAGCACUCAUUGUUUCUUCUUGGGGCUCGAGCACUCCUGGUGCCAAACUGUAUUGAUGAGACUUUUCCAUUUCCUGAAGCUGCAUUAAUUAAAAGAAAGAUGUAGUUGAGCAAAGAUGGAAAUCCCUCCCAGAAGCUGCUGAACUCCCUCUUUGUGUGAUUUUCUUCCUCCUGAGAUCUCAAGUGCUGCAUGAGGAAAGCAAAUGCUCUUCAUCACCUCAGUGCCUUGUUCUUCAUUUAUGCAGGGGCUGGUGUGUGUCUUUUGGGAGAGCUGGGAAGGCAAGGAUAGGUUUGUGAGCGAGGAAGGGCUGCUGCCCUCUGGUCUGUGCUGCCUUUGCGUUCCUUGUCUCCAGGUCAGCAUUGCCUUUGGCGGAGCUUCGGCAGUUCUUGUUGGCCGACUCAUGCUGAACUUGCUGGAAACAGGAACUGCUUGUAACAAUCAGUCUUGCAAAGCUUGGUUUUCAAACCGUUUAAACUGACAUGUAAAUUACGCAGAGCAACAUCCCACACUGCUUGGAAACCUUCUGCAAUUAACCCACUCCAACCUGUGUUCUGCUCAGCCCCGAGGUUACGUAGGUUUGUGUGCAGGUUCUCUCUGCCACUGAAGGCUUCCCGUAUCCCACAGCCUGAUUUGCUACUCCCUUGCAGCAUGAACUUAUUUUAAUUCAGGCUGACUGAGCAAUCUGCAGUUCGGUAGGAAGCCCUACUGUGUUUUACCCUAUAUCAACAAAGAUGGCACAAAGAAAUGAGUCCUAGAGCACGUACUAUUACCUGUGCUGGGUGUUGCUUCAGCUGAGGGGAGAUCUGUGGGUAGGUGAAUGGGAAUGGCUGCCUUGUUUUCUUGUGAAAAGAUGUGAUGAAUUAGCAGAAACAUCUCUCAGAAAAUACUUAUUUUCUUUUAGAGGUGACCGUCUCAGUCUGUUGAUGUUCUUAGAGAUGAGAAUGGUUUGACUCCAGCAAUUGUACAGGCUGCUGCUGUUGUGUCAGGUCGUGCUGUCCUGUGGUGUAACUGCCAGGUGAAGAACAACUGAACUGUGUAAAACAAUUACCUUUUUUCUCUUCUUUGCCUUUUCUUAAUGCCCCCACAUGGAGUCCUUUGCAACUGGCAGGGAGGUGCAGUGUGUAUCUCAAGCUGCGUGCAGUGCAGUCGGUGCACACUAGAGGGUAGUGCACCACUGACUGCCCUGCAACGAGCGCUGCAGCCUGAAAUCCUCCCAGCUGGCACAGAGCAGGGAGCUGGAGCUGCCUGCCCUCUGUUUACAAUAAUGUUACAGCUUGUCUUUACAACGGGGAUGUGAUACCUGUGGUAUGGAAAAACAGCGUAUUCUCUCCAAACCUGCUGCGUCUGACUUAGGGAUGAAUUUUUACAAUGAAUUCUAAUUAGCUUGAGCAAUCCGAUCCUCUCUGUGUGUUUUUCCAGAGACAUCGUAGUAACUAACAGCCCUGAGAGGCUCUGCAGGCUUUUUGGAUGGUUAACAUUUAACUGAAAUUUUAUGCUGAACUUUGAAGCGACUCAUUUGGAUGGAGGUACAUUAGCAGACUGAUAGAGCGCUGUAACUGCACUGCUGGGUUUGAUAGGAGUAGCUCCAAAAUUUGGUUACUGAGGCCAACGUUAGAUAAAAUCGGGUCUCCCCUUGGCUGGGGUAGCACCUCUGCCUGAUAACUGCUCCUUUUGGGGAUAGCCAUGCCCUGUGCUUGGCAGAAACCCUUCCCCGACCAGCACUAGCUUGAAGAUUUGGCAGUCAGGAAGAAAUGUGGCUCUUGCUGCUGCUGUUUCAGUGCAUGGGCAACAUGUACCAAAGUCUGUCUGGGCUGGAAUGUGCUCUGAAAGAACAGGAGCAUUUUACUAGGUGUUGUAGUAGAUAUCCCACAAUGUCCUUGCUAGGAAAGCACCUCAUUUCCGUGCUGUAGCUGUGCUGGAACUCUCCCAGAGGCAGAGAGAGGUCUGUGUGACGGGGUGAUAAGGAUGUUUUCUUGCAAUAUUGAUCUCUCCAGGUGGGUGUAAGGCAGGAAUGGAGGGCGGCUCCACCCCACUGCAGGUCACUGUGCUGAGGACUCCCCAGGCAGGGUUUCAGCUCCAUGUUUGCUGCCAUCUGAGCCCUUUCUGGGCAUCCUCUGUGUUAAGCAGCACCCUGGAAGUGAGAACUGGUGUCUUCCCCUUGUUCUCCAGGUUCCAUGGGUGUCAGUUCUGUGGUAAGGCAACAAGGAAGAUGAUUCCUGUAUCUGAACUUGAGCUGUUUGUGGUUCCUGUGUUGUCAUAGAAAAGAAGUCCAGAGCUCAAGAGACAGUUGUUUUGGAGCUUUGUGUUUUGUUUUUCUUCCCUUUAGCAUCAUUUGCUGUACCAAAGCUGUGUUGGCUGAUCGGGGUUGACAGAACUUGUAAGUGGUGAAACGUUAAUAAAUCCUGGUGAUGAGUCAUUAGCAUACAAAGCAACCUGAUGACUCACAACACAAGGUUUUGAUUACUGCUUUUUCAAGCACAUGGAUAGGUAGGAGCAAUUAAAAAUCUCAAGAAGAAAUCUGUCUUGGAGCACCUGUUUGUGUCUUGUUAAGGCUGUGGGAGAUGCUGACAAAUGGGGUGGUGCUCAUUUUGCCUCUGAGACCCUUUUGACUGAGUUGUGUUCUCCUGACCCUGGUUCUAGUUGUGUUUUUCCCCCCCCUCCCCUCUGUUCCAGCUCUGUUGGGUGUCCUCUGAGCUUAGGAAGGAAGCACUGUAUGCGUGUGAGGGGAAGAAGAUGGUGAAGUUUGUUCCCCCAAGAUGCAGUUGAAGCCUCAGUCAAGGUUUCGGGGUCACUGGGCCAGAGCCAUUAGGGACUUGUGAAAUGAUGUCACUGGAGCAACAACAAAACAUCCCAUCCGGUAGGUCACGGCCUGAUUUGUUACCAGCACCGUGUUCUCUGCUUAAUCUCUAGUGAGUAAUUAGUAAGGACUUCUUACAGGCAGCUUCCUUGAGGAGAGGCCAAGGGGCAGAGAAGGGAUCUGUCUUCCUCCUCACCUGCCCUGGCACUGCUGUGCUUGUGGGCUUUGGCUGCAGAGUGUGUGGAGGUGCAGGAAGCACUUUGUGUCCUCCCAGGGAGACUCAGAUGUUCCUUCCAAAAAGCCAAUUGCUGUGAUCAGUCAAAUGUGUAGUUUAACCCUGAUUUAUGGUCCUCAAACAAUUAUUGCUGCCUUCCUCUGAUGCCCUUUAGAGGUUCUGUGAGCUCUGCCAACUUGAGGAAGGAUGAGUUUGCCAGGUUGUUUGUCAGCUACGCCACCUUCCAAGUGGAAGAAUGGGAUGACGGUGCUUCCGAGAAGUCUGGAUGAAGGUGAUCCUUGGUGCUGCAACGUGCCCUUGGUUGGGGCUGCGAUGAAUCUGAGUGGUAACUGACACCUACCAGAUCUCUUAUAUGAAACAUUUAUUUAGUCCUAGAAUCAUGGAGGUUGGAAAAGACCUCUGAAGGUCCUGUUGGAUCGAGUGUCUUGGAUGAAGGAGGCCAGCCUUGUUUGCAUCCUGCUUUUGCAAAGGAAUAGCUGACCUCAGCUCAGCCUUGGGGAACUCCUACUGUGCCAGCUCUUUCAUGCAGCCUUCAUCCAGGUUUGACCUACUUGUCGUUUUUGUACAAACAGUUGUUGGAAAGCAGUAGGGGAUGGAGAGAAGAUGCAUCUGAGGAGUGCUGGCUCUUGGUUAGAAUGUUAGUGGGCACCUGGAGCAGAUGGCAGUGGCAUUCUGCAGGUUGGGAUGUUUCAGCACACGGGUGUCUAUGUUACCUGGUAGUCAUGCAUACUCACUUCAUUGCACGUCUGUCCGGUGCUGCUGGCUCUCACUGUGUGUAGUUGCCCAGCUGAUAUGUACUGCAUCCCUUUGGAGUCUGCUCCGGGUUGUUGGCAGGAUGUGAAGUGGGAUCUUUCUGCUUUCCCAGGGCUGCAGCAGGUUCCCAAUUAAAGCCAACCCAGACUGACACCAACAUACAUCAGUCAGGCACGGUGCUUCCCUCUCCAUGUAUUUAGCAGCAAGAAUUCACACCCCGUCCCACGCGUGAUCCUUAGCAAACACUGACAUCCUGCUCCCCACAGCAGGGUGAAGCAGAUCAAAGGAGAAUGUUUCAUUUCUGUACACUUUUCUUUGGAACGGGAGCAGCUGCAGCUUUCAGUGCAGUUGAUCAGAUUGCUCAGAACAAGUGUUUUUCACUGAUUAUUAUCAUUUUUUAUCAUUAGUGAGGGAGCUCCCAGCUUGUGAGUAGUCGCUGUUUGGAAACCAGUCGCCACAAUACGAGCUGUCAGCCCUGGCAAUAGCUGACAUCUCAUUAAGUGUGGAUUGGUGGCGUUUUUAAGGCUAGAAUUGUGCGAUGGGGCUCAGGUGAGUGCUUAAAGGCUUAAGAGGCAUUGCAGAUGUAGGCAGUGGAUGCUGUGGAUGGCAAAGGACAGAGGUGGGGUGGUCGAUUCAGUGGCUUUAGGAGGAGCAGCCAUCAAUCCAGCUGUAAUGUACAGCACCAAGAAGAUUAUUUUGUAAUGAUUUUGUAUUCGUAAGUUGGACCCCUCGCAUAAAACCAGGGUUAAGCUGUUAUGUGCUGCUCUGCCUGCCUUGCCCGGGUAAUUUCUCUCUUUGGUUCUGUGCAAAGUGCUGCUGGUAGGAACAAAGGAGUCACGCUGCCCUUACUCAUUAAGAACUGCGUUAUGGAACACAGCGGUGUUGUCUUUAGACUAAAAGCCCUCCUGUAUGGCUGGUCCCACCAUCAGACCAUCUCCUGCUGCCUGGCAACUGCCUCUAUUGCCAUAGCAAUGCAGCUCCGCUUUCAUGCAGAGCCCCACCAUCCCCAUCUUUCAUUCACUCUCUCACUCCAUCUGUGAGUUCUGCUCCGAAUCCGGAGUUACUCAGCACUUCUGAACUCAUUAAUGAAACAUUACUUAGCAGAGGGGAAGCCACGCGAUGCUUUGGGCUGCGUGUUUGCCUGGGCUGUGGCUGCUGCCAUUGGGCUCGGUUACUACACAGACACACAGUGUGAUCAGCAUCCCUCCCUGCACACUGCAUCCCUCUUUGAGGAACUGGAGCUGCCUGCAUCCCUGGGUUCUGUGCAUGUGGCUGCAGCUGUGUAGCAAAGGGCCAGAGUUUCUUCCUUUCAGUAUCUAAGGGACUGUAAGAAAGAAGGGGAUAGAAUUCAGCAGAGUCUGUUUGGUAGCACAAGUGGAAAUGGUUUCCAACUACAAGAGGGGAGAUUUAGUCUGGGUGUAAGAGGAAGCUUUUUACCCUCAGGUCAAUGAGGCACCGCACAGGGUGCACAGACCUGGUGGUGCCCCAUCCCUGCAGGCAUUUGAGGUCAGGGGAUGGAGCUCUGAGCACUGAUGGAGCUGUGGGUGUCCAUGAGCAAUGCAGGGAGUGGGACCUGAUGGCAUUUAAGGUCCCUUCCAACUCAAACCAUUCUAUGAUUCUCUGAAACAGCCUCAGGAGUGCAGGUUAUGCAGUCAGUGAAUUCACACCCUGUUGAUGGGCUCCCUGAGAGCUUAACCAGAACAGCAGUGAUGAUUUAAGUAAAGGAUACAGCAAGGAGAAUAAUGCAAGAGCGCAAAAGCAGCGAGCAGGAGAAAACAUUUCUCAGCCGCACAGUGCUCAGCAGUGCUGCAGAUCGCUCUGGCUGCAGACCUGAGGUGCCGGGAGGAAGCUCGGAGGUUCCCUCGUCACCAGCUGCUUUGCUGCGUUCUUCGCAGGCUCUGGCUCUCAGCGCCAAUCACCGGGAGCUGCCGCUGCGCUGCUCCCAGAUACAAGUGGAAGGAGCUGCGGGGGGAUGCGGACAAAGCACGACAGAGACAAAAGGGAUGGAGAUGUGAGCCGCUCCGAUAGCGGAGCCGCUUGGCGCAGGGCAGCAGCCGCUCGUCCCCAAGGGAGGCUCUUCCAGCACAAAGCCGGGCUGUGAGCUGCUCCCCAGCAGCCUGCCUUCCUUCUCCACGUCCUCCUCCUGUCCCUGGGAGCCCCCCGGCCGAGCUGCCCCCGGAGCAAAUGCCACCUGUACCCAAUGAGGCAGAUCCCGAAGUGCCACGAAUGGAUCCCAGGAUUCUCAUUUUCCUUCUCUACGUGAUGAUCCUCCACGAGCUGGUGAGCGGCUGGAUGGAGUACCAGAAGCAAAUCGCCAAGCCCAAGAAGCAGGCGGGGCCGGUCUGGUCCUCCAGCAGCACCAGGCCCAGUCACUCCAGCUUUGCCAGGCCGCUGGUCCAUUCAGUGCGCAGGGAGCGGCACCGAGACUGGAGGAAGCCAGGACGGAUCAUCCGGAAGGCGUGAGGAUGGACGGCCAUAAGGAGCCCAUGGGCAUCAGCCACACCAGACAAGGCUUUGGCCACCCAACAUGGCAAGUUGACUCUUCUGUCUUCCCCCUUGAGUAGACAGAGACCAGAUUUCUUUGGGGAAGGAUGGAAUUUGCUCUUCGGUCAACCAUAAGGAGCCUUCAAAUGAGCCUCCAUUGCCCAAUGGGAGGGAAGGCGUUGGGGUCUGGUCCUCUGCAGGGCAUCCAGCACUGAGAGCCCUCAUGGCUCUGCUGGUCCCACCAACAUCACUGUGCAGAGUUCCUGCUUUCUGUCUCUGUUGCUCUGUGGUGGAAGAGGGGAAGUGCUGGGCACUGCUGCCAUUAGUGCAAUGGCCCCGUAAUUAGAUUUCUUUGCAGCCUUCCCAGCAGAUGAGCCAGACUUAAGAGCGACUUUCUAACGAGCAGAUAGAAGGGUAAGGAAUACACGUUGCUCUUAUUAGGGUCUGUGAUUUAGAUGCAGAAUUAGAUUUUAGGGACAGGAGUCAGCUCUCGUGUCCUGCACCGCAGCUGUGUGCAGGAUGAGCAUCUCUGAGCACUGCAGGAUUCCAGCCCUGUGCUCCUGCAGCUCUCAGGGCAGAGCUGGCUGCCUUGUUUGCUGAAUGCCACAUCUGCUUCCAACAGCCUGUUUUCCUCCCUGCCAACCAUUUACAAGCCUGACUCAGGCUGGGUGAUGCGUAAUGCAGAAGCAGAUAGGGAAGGGCCUUGGGGUGGGUCGGACAUUCCUCAGCAUGAACGGCUGCUGGUGCUGCCCUGGGGCAGACAGCUCAGAGAUGGAACCUCAGCCCUGAGAGCAGGACUUGGCUGGGACAGGUGGAUGUCCAAACUGCUGCACUUUGGGAGCAGGCUCUGCUGAUCACAUGCUGGAUUUAUCCCUGUACAUCUCCUGUUUCCUCCCAAUAAAUCCUUUUCAAUCA